CCUUGUAAUUAGGUUAUCUCAUAACUCAAGCAAGCUUGAUCUAAUCAAAUCCAAAUCUAAUCAAAUUGAAUCUAAUUCAAUUAGACUUGAUCUGAAUUCCAUUGCUCCAUCAAAUUGAAUCAAUUAGCAAUCCAAUUGCUAAUUAAUCCUCCUACAAUUCACUAACUGUUAGUGAAUUAUUUUAUUACAGUUUUUAUAUUGGAUCAAUCAUCAAUUAUAUUGAUGAUUAG
rnacentral:lncRNA from 1 species